UACGUAGGUGGCGAGCGUUGUCCGGAUUUACUGGGCGUAAAGGGAGCGUAGGCGGACUUUUAAGUGAGAUGUGAAACACCCGGGCUUAACUUGGGUGCUGCAUUUCAAACUGGAAGUCUAGAGUGCAGGAGAGGAGAAUGGAAUUCCUAGUGUAGCGGUGAAAUGCGUAGAGAUUAGGAAGAACACCAGUGGCGAAGGCGAUUCUCUGGACUGUAACUGACGCUGAGGCUCGAAAGCGUGGGGAGCAAACAGGAUUAGAUACCCUGGU
rnacentral:rRNA from 1 species